GCCCAGGUGGUGAAAUUGGUAGACAUGCUACUUUGAGGUGGUAGUGCUCGUAAGGGUGUGCAGGUUCGAAUCCUGUCCUGGGCAC
rnacentral:tRNA from 1 species